rnacentral:rRNA from 1 species
UGCCAGCAGCCGCGGUAAGACGAAGGGUGCAAGCGUUGUUCGGAAUCACUGGGCGUAAAGCGCACGUAGGCGGCUACGUAAGUCGGAUGUGAAAGCCCAGGGCUCAACCCUGGAACGGCAUCCGAAACUGCUUAGCUUGAGUCCCGGAGAGGAUGGUGGAAUUCCAGGUGUAGAGGUGAAAUUCGUAGAUAUCUGGAGGAACAUCGGUGGCGAAGGCGACCAUCUGGACGGUGACUGACGCUGAGGUGCGAAAGCGUGGGGAGCAAACAGGAUUAGAUA